rnacentral:rRNA from 1 species
UGGCGGACGGGUGAGUAACGCGUGGAUAACCUGCCGUAUACAGGGGGAUAACACUUAGAAAUAGGUGCUAAUACCGCAUAAGCGCACGGUUCCGCAUGGAACAGUGUGAAAAACUCCGGUGGUAUACGAUGGAUCCGCGUCUGAUUAGCCAGUUGGCGGGGUAACGGCCCACCAAAGCGACGAUCAGUAGCCGGCCUGAGAGGGCGGACGGCCACACUGGGACUGAGACACGGCCCAGACUCCUACGGAAGGCAGCAG